AUCGUGUUGGAACACUUACCAGAGAUGUAUCAACUCUUGUACACGACUUCGAGAUAAUGGUCUCUUACAUCUUAUUUUCUCACUUCCCAUUACCAUAAAGAAGAUCAAACUUAUCAAAGAAGAGAUCUCUGCUUUAGAUGAGAGCAUUCCCAAGGACAGAGGUCUAAUCGCUGUGAACUCUCCCAAGAAACCAGUUGAGAGAAAG
rnacentral:misc_RNA from 1 species